CAAACUAAACAGGAUUCUCUUAGUAACUGCGAGUGAACAGAGAUUAGCCCAACAUCGAAGCCACCAUGCAUUUGUAUGGGAGGCAAUGUGAUGUUUUGGUGUUUGAACGCACUGUCUGGCUAACUUGAAGUCCAUAUUUGACUGUGGCUUGUAUUUAUACACCCAGAGAUGGUGAUAGGCCCGUUCAGGUUGGUAUUCUUGCAUGACAGUUCAGUGUGUAAUCAUUCAUCAUAGAGUCGGAUUGCUUGAGAGUGCAGUCCAAAAUGGGUGGUAAACUCCAUCUAAGGCUAAAUACCUGUACGAGUCCGAUAGUCAACAAGUACCGUGAGGGAAAGUUGAAAAGUACUCUGAAGAGAGAGUAAAUAGUACGUGAAACCACAUGGAGGUUAAACAAAUAGAGUCAAGCUGCUUGCAUCAUAUCAUUGCAAUAUGCGCAUUUUGUUGCAUGACAUUUGCCGGGACCUGGCGUGUGAUUCUGUCUACUUGUAGGCAUUUGAACAUGUGUUUGUUGUUUGAAAGGUCUCGGUGAGUGUCUGCGCUUAUUGUUCAUGAUGGGUGCUAAUGCCAUAGUCGGUUGUACUACCAGUGCGCAGUAAUCGGCGAUUGUGCGGGCUGACUUAUUGUCGUUCGUGCAAUCAGUGAAACAGUUGGCAACAGUGUGUGCUUGCAUUCGCUUUUGUCAAAGAAGGCCACGGCCUGUUGAUUACUGUGAACAUUGUGAGAGUCGACCGUUCAUAUGUGCUCAUAUAAUUUGUGGUAGUAAGUCGACUUGUCGACUACUUCCAUAAAUGAGCUUAUGAGCUAUGGUAUUGUGGUA
rnacentral:rRNA from 1 species